rnacentral:rRNA from 1 species
GGCGAACGCUGGCGGCGUGCUUAACACAUGCAAGUCGAACGGAAAGGCCCUGCUUUUGUGGGGUGCUCGAGUGGCGAACGGGUGAGUAACACGUGAGUAACCUGCCCUUGACUUUGGGAUAACUUCAGGAAACUGGGGCUAAUACCGGAUAGGAGCUCCUGCUGCAUGGUGGGGGUUGGAAAGUUUCGGCGGUUGGGGAUGGACUCGCGGCUUAUCAGCUUGUUGGUGGGGUAGUGGCUUACCAAGGCUUUGACGGGUAGCCGGCCUGUGAGGGUGACCGGCCACAUUGGGACUGAGAUACGGCCCAGACUCCUACGGGAGGCAGCAGUGGGGAAUAUUGCACAAUGGGCGGAAGCCUGAUGCAGCAACGCCGCGUGCGGGAUGACGGCCUUCGGGUUGUAAACCGCUUUCGCCUGUGACGAAGCGUGAGUGACGGUAAUGGGUAAAGAAGCACCGGCUAACUACGUG